CCGUAGAGGAAGUCAUUGCGGUUCCGUGUCCAGUCCUCCGUGAGGGUGGAGCUACUGCCAAACGUCUUCUGCUAGUGGUCCUCUAGGUCUACAAUAAACGACAACCCCAUCAACCAUACCUUGGAGUGGUCUUGCUUGCCCUUAGUUUGUACAACACUCCACUGAAAUUUGUGAAGAUCUCUUGGGCCACAGUAAGAAAAGAUGGAUGGUGUUGCUAAGCAGAGGGAUUAAGAUUGUUAUGCUAAACCACCAGAAGAAGCAUUCAACACAUGCCACCAGAAGAAGCAUUCAACACAUGCACCAGCGAAAGGGAAGACAGCUCUCUGACCCAUGUACCACUUUCAGAAUGUGUUCAGACUCCAAUGCUGCCAAAAGUCCCAGAGGUAAAAAAGAGGUCAAGAGUAACAGCCUGAGGACAGCAAUUGCAGAAAUCCUCCCAAGGCUCCAGGACAACGUGGAAGUGAUGAAUCCAGCCAUACAGACAGUAGAUGAAAAGCUUACCUUGGGUCUAAUCAUAGCUAGGCUACCAACUCACUUCCAAAGGGUAUGUCUCUCUUUCCUCACCUGUCAAAACAGGAAAUUGGAUGCUCUGUAGAAGAAAAACCAAGUCUCCAUUUGAAAAGCAUUUUUGGUAUCAUUUCACACUCAUUUAUUUGAUGCAGAUGGAAACUGAGUGCCAGAGAUGGACACUUGUCCACUGUCAUGUCUACAACCUGAUAUAACCCAGCCACCCCGUAUUCAAGCUCCUGUUUUUCUUCUAAAUGCUUUCCAAGGUUCUUCCAAGUCCAAGAGCUUUUUACUCUUAAGAUGGCCUCCCCGCAGCUGCAGCUAUGGACUCAUUCUUUGAUUGGUCACUAGAGGCUUCCUUUGGUACUCUUGAUGGCAUACUGUAUAUAACUUCUUGCUUAACCUCACAUAAACCUGGACAAGUAAUGUGUGCUGCCAGACUCAUGGAGGACAUGCUGUAUUAUGUGUGUGGCCAUCCAGAGUCAAGUCAGGCAAUAUGUUUAGACAGGCUAUUGGGCAAGGACGGGAUCUGCUUGGCAAGUUGACACUAUAACCUUGAAGAAACCCCAUUCUCUACUGAACUUCAAUUUCCUUAUAUUUAAAACAAGUUUGUUGAACUAGCUGAUCCCUAAGGCGCUGUUCAGCUGUGGUGUUCUGUCGCAGUGUUUCCUAAUCUUUCUCUUCCUGGGGGAAUUUUAGUCAGAACCUAGUGGGACGUUCUUUACCACAG